AUUGAACGCUGGCGGCAUGCCUAACACAUGCAAGUCGAACGAGUGGCGGACGGGUGAGUAAUGUCUGGUAAACUGCCCGAUCGGGGGGGAUCACUACUGGGAACCGUAGCUAAUACCCCAUACCAUACAAUUUGCCCAGGUGGGAUUAGCUAGUCGGGGGGGUAACGGCUCACCUAGGCGACGAUCCCGAGCUGGUCUGAGAGGAUGACCAGCCACACUGGAACGGAGACACGGGCCAGACUCCUACGGGAGGCAGCAGUGGGGAAUAUUGCACAAUGGGCGCAAGCCUGAUGCAGCCAUGCCGCGUGUAUGAAGAAGGCCUUCGGGUUGUAAAGUACUUUCAGCGAGGAGGCGUUACUCGCAGAAGAAGCACCGGCUAACUCCGUGCCAGCAGCCGCGGUAAUUC
rnacentral:rRNA from 1 species